rnacentral:rRNA from 1 species
UACAGAGGGUGCGAGCGUUGUCCGGAAUCACUGGGCGUAAAGGGCGCGUAGGCGGCUUGAUAAGGUUGCGGUGAAAGCCCGGGGCUCAACCCCGGGUCGGCCGUGGCAACUGUCGAGCUGGAGCACUGUAGAGGCAGGUGGAAUUCCGGGUGUAGCGGUGGAAUGCGUAGAGAUCCGGAAGAACACCGGUGGCGAAGGCGGGACUCUGGGCCGAUACUGACGCUGAGGAGCGAAAGCGUGGGGAGCAA